UUCUAUGAUUCUAUGAAAUCGCUUCACCCCCCUGGGCUCAAAGGUAAUGUAGAGACCUGUCACAGCAAACCGGUGGCUGCGGGCCCUCUUGCUCAGAGGGGAGCUUUGCUCGGCUCCUGCCCAGCUCUCCAGUGCGCUCUCAGCGAGCAACACAUGGGGGCUCUGAGGCAGAGAGGCUCUGCAGCACGCACAAACCACACGUUCCCAGCAAAGAGGCCUCGCUUACCCUGGUGUGUAACUCAGCGAGCACAGGAACACCCGUGCUGCUUUUUGGCAAACGAGGAGCCCCAUCUCGGUCCCAGAGCAAGGCUCCAGUUUUUAGCUCAAAGAGAGCUAAAACUCAUCUUAACAAGAAAACAUAAAGCGUUGUUCCAAUUCAUCUCCUCUUUCCGAGAGCAGCCUCUGCUUACACAGUAAGCGAGCACAAAAACUAAAAGCAUCAAGUGGCAUUUGCAUUCUUAAGAAACAAUGCCUGCACCGAGUUGAAAACGUUUCAGAUUCAUUCUUUGGAAACAAUUUGUGUGAUUUCUUCUGUUUUUCUUCAAGCGUGAUUCUGUUUUUCUUCAGCACUGCUUGCUGCUUGGGGUGUGUGGUUUGACACUCAGCUUGUCAGUUUAGUAUUUUGAGAUUGUGAGUUUUUUGAAGAGGGCACAUCUGUGGUUAUAGAAGAAAAACAAGAAGCAUCAGAUGUUCAGUGUACAGAAAAGCAGAGCUUGGGAGGAUCUUAGAAAUGAAUAGUUAGCAGAGAUGACUCGUAUUUGACCCAGAGCUGUUGCGGACUAAUGUAGCAUCUGUAAAAUCACUUAUUUUUUCAAGUUUUCAAAUGCCCUCUGGAGAAAUUAUCUUAAUAAGGAAGAAACACACUAACUACAUUGCUAGUUGUGAAAUUUUAUUAGAAGCAGCAAAAAUACCUACUUUGCUUUUUAUUUUUUUUUUUAUUUAGUGAGAACCCACAGUUCAGAAAAAAAAAAUGUAUUCAAAAAACCUUUUAAGGGAAAGGCUUCUCCUCAAAAAAAUGAGAGCUUGUGAUUCCUCAACAAGAACUCCAGUUUGCCUUGCUCCUUGCUCUACAGCUGCAAGCAACCAAGGGGGAAUGACCUAACAUUCAUCACACACAUCCAGAUCAGCCACUGAGGCAACGUACGCUUUCACUUGCUUUUUGAAGCCAGAGCGCUCAAACGAGAGCUUCUUGAAGACACAGGUUUCCAGCUCUCCCCCCCGCCUCACCGAAUCCUGUUUAGCACCACAAAUGCCACAGUUCACGUUCUACAGCGUCUUUCAGGCAGCCCGUCUCCCAGAGCACUGUCUGCAGUGGGCGCCGAGAAGUGGCUCCAAGAUGAAGAGUCACAAAAAGAAAGCUCGCAAGAGGAAAAAUCUCUAGCAAUAUUACUUUCUGUCUUUGCUAAUGGAAGGCACACCCACUUCCUCUGACUCUAACCAGAGGACGCCUGGCUGUCAGGUGGCAGAGAUAUGCAGUUGAGAAGCAGAGGUCUUUAUAGGCGCCUAGCCCUGCCUUGUAUACCAUCUGCUGCUUAUGGAAACUUAAGACUUGCCAAAGAGGGGCUGAUUCUGUGUUUUUAAUAUUUAAUGCUUAUUGGAAAUGAUGGUUCAGCAUUACCUGCUACCCCAGUGAGAUCAAGCUAAACCCCACCCACAGUAUUGGAUGUUCGUAAGCAAUUGCAGAAAUAAGCGGUAAGCGUGGAAAGCUUAGAGGCAAACGGGAGAACUCGUGUGUAACCUGCUGCACACACUUUCAACACACUGGCAGUGGUUUUUUUCCUCUGCCACUCACUUGAAUUCUUUUGGGUUUAACUCUUACAGGUUAAGAAAAAAUUCUGUGUGAAGUAGUAGCCAUCAAAAUAACUGAACAAUAGGAUCAGAUUGCUUAGAAACUUCUCACUUUGGAGGGGCGGGUCCCCAUUCAGUUUUGUGCCACGCUUUAUUACUAAAUAAAUCCCUCUAGGGAGAGUCAGUCUAUGAUGGUCAAAGUUCUCAGCUGACUCUUGUUUGCUUUCUAUCAUCAGGGAAUUAAUGCCUGCAGAGACGUUAACACCAUCCACUUCACGCACCACACGAAGGUACGAUUUGGAGAACCUAAAUUUAAGAGUGUGGGUUCUCUCUGAAGUAAAUGGAGACAGGCAGGUACCCAAGGUUGGAUGCCUAAAUUUAGAAGGUGUGAAUACUGGUUUCCCCUUCUCUCUUCCGUUUUCUUCUCUCUGAUGUCUUAGUCCAUUUCUUUCCAGCAGUUAAAGGUCAGCUGAGACUUCAUGUCCAGCUGAGCUGCUCAUCCCCUCUAGCAUUUUGUAGAAACCAGAUUCUCUCAAACUAGGGAGAGAAGGGUAGGACAUGCAGGUUCAGCAUCAAGAUUCACAGGACCAUUAGUUCCCCACCCCCUCGAACUACAACAGAUCCCUCACUUCUAAACUACUUGCAGAGACUGAAGAGCGAAAAUACAGGUGAAACUUCUACGUGUUGUGUGGACACAGCCUUUGAGGCCCCAGCUGUAUCUCACAUAUGUACCAUGCUCUUUGCUCCCUCCGUCACUCUUUACAGAUAGGGUAGAUGUAACUUUCCAGUCCUGGGUUUAGACAGCAGUACAGCUACGUUAGUUAUUCUGCUCUAGAUUUACUAAGGCACUUUUUUUGUUUUGAUAGUCUUCCACAAAAUAAAUUAAGCUCUCUUCUGCUAGUUUUAAUACAGAAUUUCACGCUACCAUAUAUAAGCAUAACAUGAUCUGCAAACUUUACAAAGCUGCAGGGCAAUCCCUUUGAAUGCCUGCUAACUCACAGGUUACUUUAUGGCUUGCCCACUUUCCUGACAUAGGGACUAUCAAGUGAACCACUCUGAAUCCCCUUCUUCUCUCCAAACCCCAAGAAAAAUCAGCAAGAUUGGUCAAUGGGCACAAAGAAUUGAACAGCAGCAGUGAAGGGCUCUGUGCUAGGAAACUGAGUAUUAGAGUGCAGUACUUACUUACACUGAAAGUAUUUACAGGACUGUGAACCGAACUUUGGUGUGAGAAGAGGCACAAAACUUUUUCCUCCAUCCUCUUUGGCCAGCACAAAGACUUGCUUUGAAUAACUCUGAACAAUUUGACUUUCUCUGUCUAUGUGGUUUUAUUAACGCUGUUCUCUUCCUGAGAUUACUUCAUUACAUCUAUAGAAAACUCAGUAAGAAAGCCAUACCUGCACUAUGCAGGUAUAUGUCACACAUUCUCCCUUCAUGCUGAGAAGCUGCAACAGCAUGAAGCAGGCUUUGCUUUAAGCUUUAAACUAAAGCGUUGUUCUCUUCUUUGCUAUAUCCACUAUAUACAUCAGGAAAAAAAAAAAAAUCACUGUAGAAGCCUUGCAUCAGAAGAAUUGCAUCAUACCAUAUUUGUCCUGCUACAGGUCCGCUGCCAGACUUGGAUGCUUUACACAGGCGGGGCAAUGAACUUCUAUGACUUUAUGAUCCUUUCGAUCUAAGCAGCUGAUGGCUCUACCAAGCUCUUGCCCCUUUCACAGAGGCUUGAGUCCCAUCUACCCUAAGCCCCAGAUCCAGAAUGUCCCCACGCGCCUGCAGCUCACAAAUCAAAUCACUGAAAUUUAGCGUAUUCUGAGGUAAGGCUCAAACCUACCACUGAACUGAGCGUCAACUCUUCUCAUCUGUUCAACUAGCAUAGGAAGGAGAAACAGUGAGCACAGCAGCAAGGCCACAAGGAAGCAACCUGCCUGCAAACAUAACCAAAAUAAGAAGGGGCGGGGGGGGAAAGUCAGCUGAGAAAGAAUAAAGUCUGUUAAAGGACAGAUAGUUGUGGCAGAAAUUAGCUUUAAGGUCACAAAUGAGGUGUAGAUUUGAACAUUUCUAAGCAGUUAAGCUGUUACAAAACAUGCUCAUAAGAAAACUACAUAGAUGAACUUAAUUUUUGAUGCUUGAGUUGUGCUCUUUGUACAACCAGUUAAGGCUGACAGUACGAAAGAUCCUUCUGAGAUGAGUCUACAGCCUUUCUCCUACUCAAAAGUAAUGGGUAUAUCUAUGCUUUCUGCAUUUAUUUACCCAUGUGUUACUCAUGUCUAAGGGAGAUGAAAUCAUGAAAGGCAAGUGAAGAAUAUCCCUUCAGGGCAUUUCCAGCGUAUUACAGAAGUCUUUCUUCUGGACGGGUGAAGAAGGUCAUGGAAGCAGAAAGGUUAUUCUGUUCUCUUAGGGCAAGGAAAAGAAUGAGUGAGCUUACUACCUGUCAGCCAAGGAGGGGAUGCAAAAAUCCUGGAAGCUUCCUUCUUUGAGCUGCUAAGGCAGACAGCGAAAGCUACACUGAACCCUGACAAAGGGGUCUUUGCGCCUGUGACCUAUUCACUCUUACUACAAGAUCAUGUUUCCUACACAGUAAGUGCUGAAGACCAAGCCUAAAAAUAACUAACAAAAAAAAAAAAAAAAUCACACCA